CGCUCAGUCGAUAGAACAUGAGACUCUUAAUCUCAAGGUUGUGGGUUUUGAACCCCAUGUUGGGGA